AUAAGACCAAUUGUUACGUGUGUGGAGGAGCCAGGCCCCAUCUGGGCACAGUUCCUCUGAAUUUGCCUCCUGAAGUAGAAUCAUGUGUUCUGAGCCUUUACACACAGUCCGUCACCAAUACAAUAUCUAAAAACACCGGUUUGUAUCUGGGCAAAUUCCCAUCAGGAUAUUGCUCAACUUACCAUAAUCCACCCGUAUCACUGCUAAUGAACCACACAAAGACAAUCGGUGAUAUCUAUUGGUUAUGUGGGGAUAAACAAUUGAGGUCCCAAUUAACUGGGCAAUGGUGGGGGGAGUGUGCCCUAACUAAAGUCAUAAUGCCU